GUUUUGUUGAGUGCCUGGGAGGGAGACAGGAUCUGUCUGUGCCUCUGCUCAUCAACAAAAUAGUUUCUUGUCUCCACUGGCUCCUAUCUAGAGCAGCUCUGGAGUCAGUCGAGCUGAACACAGAAGAAACUGGCACAUGAUAUCCAGUAUCUACUUCAGACUUAGUGAAGAGUCCUUUCAUAUAUAUCGAUCUGUAGAGAAAUGAGUAAGGAUGGUCUGGCUUUAAAAGGAAAAAGAAGAGAGUGAGAUAUUCAUGAAAUAUAGGCUCCACCAGUGAUGUACCUAAUAAAAGCUGAGGCCUGACUGAUCCA
rnacentral:lncRNA from 1 species